AGGGUUUGAUUAUGGCUCAGAACGUACGCUGGCGGCACGCCUAACACAUGCAAGUCGAACGCAGUAGCAAUACUGAGUGGCGAACGGGUGAGUAUAAUGUGGGUAUCUGCCUUUUGGUUUGGAAUAACACGAGGAAACUUGUGCUAAUACCGGAUAAGCCCUUACGGGGAAAGUUUUAACGCCGAAAGAUGAGCCCGCACUUGAUUAGCUAGUUGGUAAGGUAAUGGCUUACCAAGGCUACGAUCAAUAGCUGAUCUGAGAGGAUGAUCAGCCACAUUGGGACUGAGACACGGCCCAAACUCCUACGGGAGGCAGCAGUGGGGAAUCUUGCACAAUGGGGGAAACCCUGAUGCAGCGAUGCCGCGUGAGUGAAGAAGGCCUUUGGGUUGUAAAGCUCUUUCGUCGGGGAAGAAAAUGACUGUACCCGAAUAAGAAGGUCCGGCUAACUUCGUGCCAGCCGCCGCGGUAAUUC
rnacentral:rRNA from 1 species